GUGCCAGAAAUCUGACCACUGGGCCAAGGAAUGCCCACAGCCCAGGAUUCCUCUUAAGCCGUAUCCCAUCUGUGUAGGACCCUACUGAAAAUCAGACUGUUCAACUCACCUGGCAGCCACUCCCAGAGCCCCUGGAACUCUGGCCCAAGGCUCUCUGACUGACUCCUUCCCAGAUCUUCUCAGCUUAGCAGCUGAAGACUGACACUGCCCAAUCGCCUCAGAAGCCUACAGGACCAUCACAGAUGCUCUAGGUAACUCUCACAGUGGAAGGUAAGUCCAUCCCCUUCUUAAUACGGAGGCUACUCACUCCACAUUACCUUAUUUUCAAGGGCCUGUUUCCCUUGCUUCUAUAACUGUCGUGCGUAUUGACAGCCAGGCUUCUAAACCUCUUAAAACUCCCCAACUCUGGUGCCAACUUAGACAAUACUCUUUUAAGCACUCCUUUUAAUUAUCCCCACCUGCCCAGUUCCCUUAUCAGGCCGAGAUACUUUAACUUAAUUAUCUGCUUCCCUGACUGUUCCUAGGCUACAGCCACACCUCAUUGCUGCCUUUUCCCCCAGUUCAAAGCCUCCUUCACAUCCUCCCCUUGUAUCUCCCCACCUUAACCCACAAGUAUGACACCUCUACUCCCUCCUUAGUGACCGAUUAUGCACCCCUUACCAUCCCAUUAAAAACUAAUCACCCUUACCCCACUCAAUGACAAUAUCCCAUCCCACAGCAUGCUUUGAAAGGAUUAAAGCCUGUUAUCACUCGUCUGUUACAGCAUGGCCUUUUAAAGCCUAUAAACUCUUCUUACCAUUCCCCCAUUUUACCUGUCCUAAAACCAGACAAGGCUUACAGGUUAGUUCAGAAUCUGCGCCUUAUCAACCAAAUUGUUUUGCCUAUCCACCCCGUGGUGCCAAACCCAUAUACUCUCCUAUCCUCAAUACCUGCCUCUACAACCCAUUAUUCUGUUCUGGAUCUCAAACAUGCUUUCUUUAUUAUUCCUUUGCACCCUUCAUCCCAGCCUCUCUUUGCUUUCACUUAGACUGACCCUCACACCCAUUAGGCUCAGCAAAUUACCUGGGCUGUACUGCUGCAAGGCUUCACAGACAGCCCCCAUUACUUCAGUCAAGCACAAAUUUCAUCCUCAUCUGUUACCUAUCUCGGCAUAAUUCUCAUAAAAAUACACGUGCUCUCCCUGCUGAUCAUGUCUGAUUAAUCUCCCAAACCUCAACCCCUUACAAAACAACAACUCCUUUCCUUCCUAGGCAUGGUUAGUGUGGUCAGAAUUCUUACACAAGAGCCAGGACCACACCCUGUAGCCUUUCUGUCCAAACAACUUGACCUUACUGUUUUAGCUUAGCCCUCACGUCUGCAUGUAGCGGUUGCCGCUGCUUUAAUACUUUCAGAGGCCCUAAAAAUCACAAACUAUGCUCAACUCACUCUCUACAUUUCUCAUAACUUCCAACAUCUAUUUUCUUCCUCACACCUGAUGCAUAUACUUUCUGCUCCCCAGCUCCUUUAGCUGUACUCACUCUUUGUUAAGUCCCACAAUUACCAUUGUUCCUGGCCUGCACUUCAAUCCGGCCUCCCACAUUAUUCUGGAUACUACACCUGACCCUCAUGACUGUAUCUCUCUGAUCCACCUGACAUUCACCCCAUUUCCCCAUAUUUCCUUCUUUCCUGAUCAGGGUGAGGACCCUGAUCAUGCUUGAUUUAUUGAUGGCAGUUCCACCAGGCCUAAUCGCCACACACCAGCAAAGGCAGGCUAUGCUAUAGUACAAGCCACUAGCCCGCCUCUUAGAACCUCUCAUUUUCUUUCCAUCGUGGAAACCUAUCCUCAAGGAAAUAACUUCUCAGUGUUCCAUCUGCUAUUCUACUACUCCUCAGGGAUUAUUCAGGCCCCCUCCCUUCCCUACACAUCAAGCUCGAGGAUUUGCCCUCACCCAGGACUGGCAAAUUAGCUUUACUCAACAUGCCCCAAGUCAGAUAACUAAAAUACCUCUUAGUCUAGGUAGACACUUUCACUGGAUAGGUACAGGCCUUUCCUACAGGGUCUGAGAAGGCCACCACAGUCAUUUCUUCCAUUCUGUCAGACAUAAUUCCUCAGUUAAGCGUUCCCACCUCAAUACAGUCUGAUAACAGAUGAGCCUUUAUUAGUCAAAUCAGCCAAGCAGUUUUUCAGGCUCUUAGUAUUCAGUGAAACCUUUAUAUCCCUUAUGGUCCUCCGUCUUCAGGAAAAGUAGAACGGACUAAAGGUCUUUUAAAAACACACCUCACCAAGCUCAGCCACCAACUUAAAAAGGACUGGACAAUACUUUUACCACUUUCCCUUCUCAGAAGUCAGACCUGUCCUCAGAAUGCUACAGGGUACAGCCCAUUUGAGCUCCUGUAUAGAUGCUCCUUUUUAUUAGGCCCCAGUCUCAUUCCAGACACCAGACCAACUUGGAGUGUGCCCCAAAAAAACUUGUCAUCCCUACUAUCUUCUGUCUAGUCAUACUCCUAUUCACCAUUCUCAACUACUCAUACAUGCCCUGCUCUUGUUUACACUGCUGGUUUACACUGUUUCUCCAAGCCAUCACAGCUGAUAUCUCCUGGUGCUAUCCCCAAACUGCGACUCUUAUCUCUUGAAGUAAAUAAGUAAUCUUUGCUGACAGGACUAUGCUGAAUCUCCUUAGGCACUCUCUAAUUAGAUGUCCUAGGUCCUCCCAAUUCUUAGGCCUUUAAUACCUGUUUUUCUCCUUCUCUUAUUCCGUUUAGUUUUACAAUUCAUACAGAACCGUAUCCAGGCCAUCACCAAUAAUUCUAAAUGACAAAUGUUUCUUCUAACAACCCCACAGUAUCACCCCUUACCACAAGAUCUUCCUUCAGCUUUAUCUCUCCCACUCUAGGUUCCCACAUCACCCCUAAUCCCGCUUGAAGCAGCCCUGAGAAACAUCGCCCAUUAUCUCUCCAUACCACCCCCAAAAAUUUUCACCACCCCAACACUUUACCACUAUUUCGUUUUAUUUUUCUUAUUAAUAUAAGAAGACAGGAAUGUCAGGCCUCUGAGCCCAAGCUAAGCCAUCAUAUCCCCUGUGGCCUCCAGGUACACAUCCAGAUGGCCAGUUCCUGCCUUAACUGAUGACAUUGUCUUGUGAAAUUCCUUCUCCUGGCUCAUCCUGGCUCAAAAGCUCCCCCACUGCGUACCUUGUGACCCCCACUCCUGCUCGCCAGAGAACAACCCCCCUUUUCCCUUUACCUACCCAAAUCCUAUAAAACGGCCCCAUCCCAUCUCCCUUCACUGACUCUCUUUUCAGACUCAGCCCGCCUGCACCCAGGUGAAAUAAACAGCCAUGUUGCUCACACAAAGCCUGUUUGGUGGUCUCUUCACACGGAUGUGCAUGAAACUACCUACACCCAUACGGAAGGGAACAAAUCAUGAAAAGUAAUGGAAUGCUACAGCCUAGUCAGUUUUGAGAAAAGGCUAACCAACAACAACAACAACAAAUCAUAGUCAUGCUCAGAUUGCACAUGAACAAAAAAAUGUUGGAGAGAAACCAUUGAAAUAACUCACCGGUCCUCUUGUGUUGCUGCUUAUCUGAUUAUCUGAGGUCAAGGGAACUGAGGACAACAAAGGAAAUUAGGUCUUUCAUAGUUCUCAUUAAAUGCUGGAGGAGUCUGACUACUGCUGAGCUGAGCACUUCAGCGGCUUUGGAAAAGGAAGUGUGGUUACUUAUUUCACCACCUUCAUUGUGCUGGAGGAAAUAAGAAAUAGCUCUGAGACUAAUAAUAACAGAAACGGCAUCCACAGCAGCAGAGCCCAGUUGCACUUCCUAAAGGCAGUAUAAAUAAUUAAGUGUCUCUAUAGGCAAGCCACUAGGAAUAAACGAAAAAGAGCUGCAAUUGCUGAUGUGGUUUCACCCCAGUCCUGCCCAUGUUUCUUAACAGGAAAGGGAGUUGCAAUGCCAAUAAUAAAAUCUUAGAGCUGGAAAGAA